AUACAAACUUUGCUGAAAUUCUAACAAAAUCUAGGUGCAUGGGUGAAAAAGAUAAAUUUUGGCGUAUCAAAAUGUUAAAAAUACUUUGGUAGUAUUGCUGUCUAAAAUGGAAAAAUAGUAACGUUCUGAGUAUCAAAUUGAAAAUAAGUCAUAAUAUGAUAUUGGAUAUUUUGCUAAAAUGUUCUUCACUAGCUAGUCGGUUAAUAAUGAGGAUGCUCUGAAAAGUAUGUGAACCAUCAAAAUAAAACUUCAGCUUAGCAAAGCUACGAAAAGUAAAUCUUUGGAGGUAUGAAAGUGCAAAUAAGCCUUAUGUAAUUGAUAAAAUAGAAAAAAUAACAAAAGUAAUCGAAGGAUAAGAUCAGAGAUGGGCUGGACCUGACAUCACGACGACCGCCAGUCCGAGAACUCCCGUUCAAACUACUAAUGUUUCUCCUUUGGUCGUUAUCGUAUUCUCAACUUCCCCAAAUUUUUAAACAGCACUCAAGGUGUUUGUUUAAUUGCCUUUUAAAAAAAUACUAGCCCCGCCAAAGACCAGAGAAAAUUAACGGCACGGUGAAAAGACGUUGUAGGAGAAGCCCACGCCAUCCAAUAGUUGCUUCCUACUUGCAACAUUUGGAAGAGGGAGUGCGCUGUGAUUAUAACUGGGACUAAAGCACCACGUCGAAUUGCAGUGAGGAUAAGGUCUGCUGCUGGAAGAAACUCAACUUGCUGAAACUUUUGCCUGUGCAAGCGCUGAAAGCAAAUCAGGAAGGCUGAAGAUUGGGUCUUGAAGCAUUCGAAAAGUAGCCAA